rnacentral:rRNA from 1 species
UACGUAGGGUGCAAGCGUUGUCCGGAAUUAUUGGGCGUAAAGAGCUCGUAGGCGGUGUGUCGCGUCGGCCGUGAAAACCUGGGGCUCAACUCUGGGCGUGCGGUCGAUACGGGCAGACUGGAGUACUGCAGGGGAGACUGGAAUUCCUGGUGUAGCGGUGGAAUGCGCAGAUAUCAGGAGGAACACCGGUGGCGAAGGCGGGUCUCUGGGCAGUAACUGACGCUGAGGAGCGAAAGCGUGGGGAGCGAACAGG